rnacentral:rRNA from 1 species
UACGAAGGGUGCAAACGUUGCUCGGAAUUAUUGGGCGGAAAGCGCACGUAGGCGGCUUGGCAAGUCGGAUGUUAAAUCCCUCGGCUCAACCAAGGAAGUGCAUCCGAAACUGCUGAGCUUGAGUACGAAAGAGGAUCGCGGAAUUCCCGGUGUAGAGGUGAAAUUCGUAGAUAUCGGGAGGAACACCAGUGGCGAAGGCGGCGAUCUGGGUCGAUACUGACGCUGAGGUGCGAAAGCGUGGGGAGCAAACAGG